rnacentral:sRNA from 3 species
AUGUACCACUCGUACACUCCGGUUCCUGCGCGCCGUCCUCACCCGCCUGACGGCUGCUCGCUACGUUUUUUUAGCC